AGAACGAACGCUGGCGGCGGGGCUUAGGCAUGCAAGUCGAGCGAGAAAGCGCAAGCAAGUACAGCGGCGUAAGGGUGAGUAAUAGGUAGUCAACGUACCUCCAAGACGCGGAUAAUUCUCCGAAAGGGGUUGUAAUACGCGAUGAGACCACGCUUCCUCCGGGGAGAGAGGUUAAAAGUAGGGGAUCCUUCGGGACCUCGCGCUGGGAGAGCGGACGACCUCCGAUUAGCUAGAUGGCGGGGUAACGGCCCACCAUGGCAGUGAUCGGUAGCCGGCCUGAGAGGGUGUUCGGCCACACUGGGACUGAGACACUGCCCAGACUCCUACGGGAGGCUGCAGUCGCGAAUCUUUCACAAUGGGCGCAAGCCUGAUGAAGCCACGCCGCGUGCGGGAUGAAGGCCCUCUGGGUUGUAAACCGCUGUCAAGUGGGGGGAACCGUCGGACGUUAACAGCGUCCGGCCUGACUGCCCGCUAAACGGAGCCCCGGCAAACAUGUGCCAGCAGCCG
rnacentral:rRNA from 1 species